rnacentral:rRNA from 1 species
CCCUUAGAUGUUCUGGGCCGCACGCGCACUACACUGAUGCAUUCAACAAGUUUUACCUUGGCCGAGAGGCCUGGGAAAUCUUUCAAAUAUGUAUCGUGAUAGGGAUAGAUUAUUGCAAUUAUUAAUCUUGAACGAGGAAUUCCUAGUAAAUGCAGAUCAUCAUUCUGCGUUGAUUACGUCCCUGCCCUUUGUACACACCGCCCGUCGCACCUACCGAUUGAAUGAUCCGGUGAAGCCUCGGGAUUGUGCCCAGAGAACUUUAUUGUGAUUUGGGUGUGAGAACUUGUCUAAACCUUAUCAUUUAGAGGAAGGUGAAGUCGUAACA